CUUCCUCGUGUUCGCGGCCAUUUUAGCUCCCGAACAGCGGUGUUUGCCAUUGAAUGUCUGGAACUGAAAACGGACACUCAAACAGGCGAACACCGCUGAAGCCUCCAGACCUUCGGUAAAACCCCUUCCAAACUACCGAACGACCGGGCGUUCGGUAGAAAGACUUACCAACAGAUGGGGAAUCCAGCGAACCAAGGAUGGUAGCUGGAUGGCCGGCCGUUCGGGAGGUUUUUCAUGCGAUCUAAGACCGACUGCAGGGCCAGAAUUCAUGGAACUGUUUUCGGCUACUUUGCCCGUGCAGUCGGUCAAAAC